GCCUACGGGGCGCAGCAGUGAGGAAUAUUGGUCAAUGGGAGAGAUCCUGAACCAGCCAAGCCGCGUGAGGGAAGACGGCCCUAUGGGUUGUAAACCUCUUUUGUCGGAGAACAAAACCCGGGACGAGUCCCGGACUGCGUGUAUCCGAAGAAAAAGCAUCGGCUAACUCCGUGCCAGCAGCCGCGGUAAUACGUAUGGUGCAAGCGUUAUCCGGAAUGACUGGGUGUAAAGGGAGCGUAGACGGUUGUACAAGUCUGAUGUGAAAGUCCACGGCUCAACUGUGGGAGUGCAUUGGAAACUGUAGA
rnacentral:rRNA from 1 species